UAAAUUUUGUAAUUCAUUAACAACAUUACGUUGCGAGCGACAACGCUUGCACACUUGCGCUAGGCACCGACGAACUAUGAACUAUUAGUUUGUGUAGCACAAAUCCCUAACGAUAGUAACAAACAGCAGUGUCUUUGUUACUUUAAAAGAUAUGCCCGUUCUUAAAUUUAACCUUACUCUGACGUAGGAAUUCGAGAUCUAGCAUUAUAUUUGAGUUCUUAAUCUAGGCACCUAUUUAACAGCAAGCGAGGCCGCGGUUUUGGCCUAUACAUUAAGGCAACAUAACAAU